rnacentral:rRNA from 1 species
CACGUAGGCACCAAGCGUUGUCCGGAUUUAUUGGGCGUAAAGAGCUCGUAGGCGGUUCAGUAAGUCGGGUGUGAAAACUCUGGGCUCAACCCAGAGACGCCACCCGAUACUGCUGUGACUUGAGUACGGUAGGGGAGUGGGGAAUUCCUGGUGUAGCGGUGAAAUGCGCAGAUAUCAGGAGGAACACCAGUGGCGAAGGCGCCACUCUGGGCCGUAACUGACGCUGAGGAGCGAAAGCGUGGGUAGCAAGCAGG